UACGUAGGGUGCAAGCGUUGUCCGGAAUUAUUGGGCGUAAAGAGCUCGUAGGCGGUUUGUCGCGUCGGCUGUGAAAACUCGGGGCUCAACCCCGAGCCUGCAGUCGAUACGGGCAGACUAGAGUGCGGUAGGGGAGACUGGAAUUCCUGGUGUAGCGGUGAAAUGCGCAGAUAUCAGGAGGAACACCGGUGGCGAAGGCGGGUCUCUGGGCCGAUACUGACGCUGAGGAGCGAAAGUGUGGGGAGCGAACGGG
rnacentral:rRNA from 1 species